rnacentral:snRNA from 1 species
GUGCUUGCUUCAGCUUAUACUUAUACUAAAAUUGGAAUGAUACAGAGAAGAUUAGCAUGGCCCCUGAGCAAGGAUGACAUGCAAAUUCAUGAAGCAUUCCAUAUUUUC